AUCUACCGAGUAGUGGGGGAUAGCCAUUGGAAACGAUGGUUAAUACCGCAUAUAUCCUACGGGGGAAAGCAGGGGACCUUCGGGCCUUGCGCUAUUCGAUGAGCCUGAGUGAGAUUAGCUAGUUGGUGGGGUAAAGGCCUACCAAGGCGACGAUCUCUAGCUGGUCUGAGAGGAUGAUCAGCCACACUGGAGCUGAGACACGGUCCAGACUCCUACGGGAGGCAGCAGUGGGGAAUAUUGCACAAUGGACGAAAGUCUGAUGCAGCCAUGCCGCGUGUGUGAAGAAGGCCUUCGGGUUGUAAAGCACUUUCAGCGAGGAGGAAAGGUCAGUAAGUAAUAUUUGCUGGCUGUGACGUUACUCGCAGAAGAAGCACCGGCUAAUUUAGUGCCAGCAGCCGCGGUAAUACUAAAGGUGCAAGCGUUAAUCGGAAUUACUGGGCGUAAAGCGCGCGUAGGUGGUUUGUUAAGUUGGAUGUGAAAGCCCAGGGCUCAACCUUGGAACUGCAUUCAAAACUGACUCACUAGAGUACGAGAGAGGUUAGUGGAAUUUCCUGUGUAGCGGUGAAAUGCGUAGAGAUGGGAAGGAACACCAGUGGCGAAGGCGACUGACUGGCUCGAUACUGACACUGAGGUGCGAAAGCGUGGGGAGCAAACGG
rnacentral:rRNA from 1 species